GAUGAACGCUGGCGGCGUGCCUAAUACAUGCGAGUCGAGCGAACGGACGAGAAGCUUGCUUCUCUGAUGUUAGCGGCGGACGGGUGAGUAACACGUGGAUAACCUACCUAUAAGACUGGGAUAACUUCGGGAAACCGGAGCUAAUACCGGAUAAUAUUUUGAACCGCAUGGUUCAAAAGUGAAAGACGGUCUUGCUGUCACUUAUAGAUGGAUCCGCGCUGCAUUAGCUAGUUGGUAAGGUAACGGCUUACCAAGGCAACGAUGCAUAGCCGACCUGAGAGGGUGAUCGGCCACACUGGAACUGAGACACGGUCCAGACUCCUACGGGAGGCAGCAGUAGGGAAUCUUCCGCAAUGGGCGAAAGCCUGACGGGGCAACGCCGCGUGAGUGAUGAAGGUCUUCGGAUCGUAAAACUCUGUUAUUAGGGAAGAACAUAUGUGUAAGUAACUGUGCACAUCUUGACGGUACCUAAUCAGAAAGCCACGGCUAACUACGUG
rnacentral:rRNA from 1 species